rnacentral:rRNA from 1 species
AUACAGAGGUCCCAAGCGUUGUUCGGAUUUACUGGGCGUAAAGGGUGCGUAGGCGGUCGGGUCAGUCUAAUGUGAAAUCUCCGAGCUCAACUCGGAAAGCGCAUCGGAUACUGCUCGGCUAGAGGAUUGGAGGGGGGACUGGAAUUCUCGGUGUAGCAGUGAAAUGCGUAGAUAUCGAGAGGAACACCAGUGGCGAAGGCGAGUCCCUGGACAAUUCCUGACGCUGAGGCACGAAAGCUAGGGGAGC